AGUUGGAGGAUGACAUGUCGAGCCAUGGCCGUGAUGGUUGCUCAGGAGAGGGCGAGAUGGCUAAACCUGUCCAGCCUCUCUCACAAGGAGAAGUCCCAGCUCCUCGAUGUCCCUGUGGACCCUAAAGGCCUAUUCAGCCCAGCGGUAGCCACUAUGCAGAAACAUUGUGAGGAGAAGAAGAGGGAAGGUGAAGCACUCCAGCUGUGUCUCCCUAGAAAAGUGCCACCCCUCCCCCCACUGCACCCCAACAGACGUUUGCCCAAGCUGUGGCUCGACCAGUCUACUGCAUCCCCAAGCUUCAGCCCCAACCCCCGGCAAGCAGCCGGGGUCAGAGCAGGCCCCAGGAGCUUAAAGGUGCGUGGGCUAAGAAACUCUUCGUUCCCAGUGUGACGCCAGGAAAGCAAGCCGCCCAUCCUGCCACUCUGGGGGCCAAGAAGAAGAGACGUGCCACCUAGUGCGCUGUCUCCGGCGGCGGUGGCGCUUACGCCGGAGAGGUGGAGCUGGGAUCCCCGAUAGGAGCGGGGGCAAAGUUUUCCCAUCUUGUUGUUUCAUUCAUCCCCAAAACAAACACAUGCGCGAGCCAGGUAAACGUCUUUACAACAAUACGCACUAGAGCUCAUGGGAAAUGUAGGCUUCAUUCCGGCAAAACACUACCACUUUUGUCCACAGGGUCGCCAAAAUCAACUCAAAAUUAAAGUUCAUUGUAGGGGAUUAAAGCUCCUACAGUGAACUUUCAUUCAUUUUCAUUUCUUUCAUUUCACUCAAAAUGAAACCCUAACCCCUAACCCUACCAGAACCUGCAGGUGGAGGCAGAGGUGCAGGUUGCUGGCAGAGGCUGUAGUAGGUGGAGGUUUGGCAACAGCAGUCUGCCAGAAUCUACAGGUGGAGGCGGAAGUGCAGGUUGCUGGCAGAGGCCGUAGGUGGAGGUUUGGCCACAGCAGUCUGCCAGAAUCUGCAGGUGGAGGCAGAGGUGCAGGUUGCUGGCAGAGGCUGUAGUAGGUGGAGGUUUAGUAACAGCAGUCUGCCAGAAUUUACAGGUGGAGGCGGCAAUUGCAGGUUGCUGGCAGAGGCUAUAGGUGGAGGUUUGGCUAAUUUAUUUCUCAUCGUGCUGGCAAAGGCUGUAGUAGGUGGAGGUUUCGGCCACAGCUGUCUACCAGAAUCUGCAGGUGGAGGCAGCAACUGCAGGUUGCUGGCAGAGGCUGUAGAUGGAGGUUUGGCCACAGCAGUCUGCCAGUAUCUGCAGGUGGAGGCAGCAACUGCAGGUUGCUGGCAGAGGUUGUAGGUGGAGGUUUGGCCAGUUUAACUCUGAAUGUUGCUUUGACAGGCUUUUGGUGUACGUUGGAUCAAGACAGUUUAGUGGCGGAAGAUGGAGGUAUGGCUGCAGCUGUCUGCCAGAAUCUGCAGGUGGAGGCAGCAACUGCAGGUUGCUGGCAGAGGCUGUAGAUGGAGGUUUGGCCGCAGCAGUCUGCCAGUAUCUGCAGGUGGAGGCAGCAACUGCAGGUUACUGGCAGAAACUGUAGGUGGAGGUUUGGCCAGUUUAACUCUGAACGUUGCUUUGACAGGCUUUUGGUGUGGGUUGGAUCAAGACAGUUUAGUGGCGGAAGAUGGAGGUAUGGCUGCAGCUGUCUGCCAGAAUCUGCAGGUGGAGGCGGAGGUGCAGGUUGCUGGCAGAGGCUGUGGAUAGUAGAAUUUGAAUCUGAUGGUGGCUGUUAAAGGCUAUUGGUCUAAGGUGGAGCAGGAAACUUCAGAGGCUGCUGGUGGAGCUGUUUCCAUAGCUGUCCUCCAGAGUCUGCAGGUGGAGCAUGGGGCAGCAAUUGGCUGGUUAAAGAUGCAGGCAGAGGGUGGAGGCAGUAGAUGGCUGUGUGACAGAGGUGGAGAGGAGUACAUCUUGCAGCACACAGUUCCAACACUUAACCAUAAACUACAAAACUUAACUUAAAGUAAAAAAAACUUAACCUUAAAACUACAAAACUUAACCUGAAAACUACAAAAUUUAACCUUAAAACUACAAAACUAAAACUUAAACUACAAACUAUUUACAUAUUUGAGCUAACACGAGUAAUGUUCAGUGCUUAGCUCGUUUCUGUGGCAGUGUCCGGGGCUUUGGUUAUCCCGAAGUGUCCACGUCAUACAGGGGAGGAUGGUCUUCAACCCCGUAUGACACACCCACAUGAACCAGUCCGUCCUCACUGAAUGAUUCGGUGAACGUUGGACGCUCCAGGCGCUCCAGAGAUCCACUUGUAAAUACAACCAUUCAGAUAACAUGUAACAAUGCUGUGUAAUAGUAGCCUGGGUUGAUAAACUGAAGCCACCUGUCUGUUUACAUCUUCUUCUUACAGGUAUUUCCAUACGCUGUGUAAAAGAAGAGCCCUCCUGACUGACUGUGCUGCUGAACUACAUCGACCAGAAAGAGCUCUUCCUCUCACUCGUCUGAAAUCAAGGCCCCGUUGGACUUCGUGGACUCCCAGAUACAUCAGGAGCUGAUCGAGCCGGUUCUAGACACACAACAAGGCUCACUGUUGUCAUCUUUUAAUGGGAAACUAAAUUGUAUUGAUAGAUAUUGAUUAGAUAGAAGUUUAUUGAUAUUAUUCUUGGUGAAUGAAAAUAAAUCACAAUGUAACCUUAAAGAUAUAAACUGCAGUAUGAUGAAUUAAUUAAUGAGUUAUUACAUAUUUACAAGACCACGAACAGUUGUUUUUGUGACUGAGGGCAAGUGCUAGGUUGUAAACCUGACCGACCCAGUUGUCACCACAAACUAUCCAAUCAUCAUGGCCUUAACCACUCACCUAUGUCAACGGAUGGAGGAGAUUUUUAUAUAAUCUUAUAUAAUGUACCAUAUACAUAUACAGUAUAACAGUAUACUAAAUACACACAGUUAUCUGAUUGCUUGGUAGACUGUUAGGUGCAAACAACUACUUUCUUUAGAUUGCACAGUUACACACUGUUUAUGUCUUCAUCUUGCUUUUGUUGGCUGCAUUGAAUCUUUCACCUUGUAAGGAA